rnacentral:rRNA from 1 species
GCCUAGCCCUAAACUUUAAUAAUUUAAAUAACAAAACUACUCGCCAGAACACUACAAGCAACAGCUUAAAACUCAAAGGACUUGGCGGUGCUUCACACCCCCCUAGAGGAGCCUGUUCUAUAAUCGAUAAACCCCGAUCCACCCUACCAUCUCUCGCUCAGCCUAUAUACCGCCAUCUUCAGCAAACCUCAACAAGAGACCCAAAGUAAGCACAAACGCCCACGCAAAAACGUUAGGUCAAGGUGUAGCUUAUGAGAUGGGAGAAAUGGGCUACAUUUUCUAUACCAGAAAAUCCCACGAUAGCUCUUAUGAAAUUAGGAGCCUAAGGAGGAUUUAGUAGUAAAUUAAGAAUAGAGUGCUUAAUUGAAUUAGGCCAUGAAGCAUGC